GGUUGUAUAGCGUAGCGGUUAUCACCCCAGUUUCUGAUGUGUCGGUAUUCUGGUAACCCCGGUUCGAUUCCGGGUACGACCU